CGGGACGGGUGGGUAAUGCUUGGGAAUCUGGCUAUGAGGGGAGUAACUACGGGAAACUGUAGCUAAUACCGCGUAGUAUCGGAAGAUGAAAGUGCGGGACCGUAAGGCCGCAUGCCAUGGGAUGAGCCAAGUGGGAUUAGGUAGUUGGUGGGGUAAAGGGCCUACCAAGCCUGCGAUCUCUAGCUGGUCUGAGAGGAUGGCCAGCCACACUGGAACUGAGACACGGUCCAG
rnacentral:rRNA from 1 species